CUGUACAAAAUUUUUAAAAUUGCAUGCAUAGCACUAUCAUAUAUUUCCUUCAAUUGGUAUCAGAGCAUGAUUAUUUUGAUAUGAUUUAUUAUAUCUUGAGAUCUAAAUUUAUGAUAUUAGAUAUGACUAUUUAUGAUUUAGAUUAGAUCUAAAUAUAUUUAUUUUCAGAUCUAUUUUUUAUCAUGUUUAGAUUAGAUGUUCUGAGUAGCAAAGUACUCAGAUUGGAUAAUUACUA
rnacentral:lncRNA from 1 species